AUACGGAGGGUGCAAGCGUUAUUCGGAAUCACUGGGCGUAAAGGACGCGUAGGCGGGUUGGCAAGUCAGAUGUGAAAUCCUACAGCUUAACUGUAGAACUGCAUUUGAAACUGCUAACCUAGAGUAUGGGAGGGGGAGAUGGAAUUAGUGGUGUAGGGGUAAAAUCCGUAGAUAUCACUAGGAAUACCAAAAGCGAAGGCGAUCUUCUGGAACAGUACCGACGCUGAGAUGCGAAAGCGUGGGGAGCAAACAGGAUUAGAAACCCCAGUAGUCC
rnacentral:rRNA from 1 species